rnacentral:lncRNA from 1 species
GUAAACUGUAAAUGAAUUUUAGUAAGUGAAGUUAAUAGGAACUUUAAUCACAUCGACUAUUUAUUCAUCGAUUCAUCGAUGCAAGUUGAUAUAGUUUUACCGUGUAACAUAUUAGUUUUAAAAAGCUAAUAUUAUCGCGUCGUAACAAAAUUACUGCAAACUAUUUUGUAAUUAAAUAUGCAUCCUAUAAAAAAUGAACAAGAGCAUCAGACUACGAGUUCUUUGAGCGGUAGUGUACCAUACCGAUCGUAUAAAAAUGGCCUUUUGCCUCCACCUCUUCUUUUCCGUUCCUUUCUCGAUAGAGCAUGAUAAAUAAGCGGUUGGUUAUUUAUAUACGAUAUCUGUGAUUCUUGAAGAAGAUGUAGUGGUCUACACACUUCUGCCAAUUUCCCUCUUGCUCCCGCUCCCUAUAUGUAUCCUUUCCUCGCUCGUUCCUACGCCGACAACCUCGAUAAAGGAGGCGAGGCGCUCCUCUGAACGUUGAGACGCCACUUCGGAAAUGUACCGACCCGAUCGAACGCCUAUUGAUUACGUACGGAAAUAAAGUAAAAAGGGAUGAGGAAGACGAUAGUAAAGUUGUAGAGUACAACGACUCGAGGAAAAUGUAACGACUCUGUGAGAAGUUCGUAUUGUCUGGACGAGUACCUCUAUGGUUUCCUCGUGGAAGGAAAUACGUAGAAAGAUACGACCCAUCGUAAAAGGAAUGCAAAGCGAGCUUCAAAAUGAACCGUCGCAGCAUCAAAGUGAAUCUACCGUACUGAAUAAUUUGCAACUUCCAGAGAAGAAGUUCGAGAUCUUACGAUCGCUGUUUCAGUGACAGCUAAGAGGAAUGCUUUUCCACGGAGGAAGAUGUUUCUUCUUGGCGGAAGAAAGCGGAAGUUGGCCAUGGAUGGAAUUUACGAAUUAAUUUCGAUGUAAUACCAACGCUAUCGAUUCCGUUUCGCUACAGACACCUACGUUUGGCAACGAGAACGGCCACGUUCAAAGAAAAAAUUCGCAGGGAAGUACGAAGGACGUCGGGAUUAAGCAAACUCGGCUUUGUUACCGGAGACAAUGGACGGUUCGCUUCUCGCGAUACAUUAAAAAACGAUCUGCCGAUGGCGCUUUUAUAUCUGGCGCGUUCGCUUUAACACCGCGUUAACCCUGCUAAUAGGUAGUCGCUUGCAUUUCGGUGCUCUUCGGCUCGUCCUAUCUCGCCAAAGUCCAAUUUGGUCCUGAUAACUAAACUGUGCUCGCGUUCCGCCAAUACGCAGCGAGACGGAAAUCGUAUUUCGAUCGAACCGCCGGUCUAGGCUGCCCGUUGGGAAGAAGGCAAAGCCGGGGUAAAGAGAAAGAGAGAGAGGGAGAGAGAGAGAAAGCUAUAAAAGAAAAAGAAAGAACGAGAAAGUGAUCGAAGAGGACUCUAUAAAAAUGGCCUGGCGAACGCCAUCGAGCUAGUGGAAAUCCAUAGGUAGAUAUUCUACCCCUUCGAUAUGGCACACACAACUUGGACAGACACAAUCGCCUUCCAACUAUCGGUGUGUGUACGUGUUUUACGAUGGAACAGGAGGCGGUGCACGCGCGCACACGUUCACGCGCAAAAACGUGUACACACAGAAUCGCCGCACCCUUUGUGCUAAAAUUAGAAGUGACGAAGCGUAUACAUACUCACUUCGCUGGCUUCGAGCUUUUAUUCACUGGCGUUUAGACAUAACGUGUUGCAGGGCUUUCAAUGGCAUCGACGGAGGUGAUCAAACCGCUAGUUAGAAGAAGAGAGUGGUAUUCGUGCAUGGGGAUUUCGAGAUGACAGAGAGAAAGAGAGAGACGAAGGAACACAUAGUUAGAUCGAAUCGAUGAUAUGGAAAGGGGUAGAGGAUAGAUGGUGAUAAAAGCAAAAAGAGGGAGGAGAUAGUUUCAUAGGGAUACGGAGGAUCUUUGAUGGGGAGGGAUGCAAGCGAUAAUGGCGGAUAGAUAAACCGGGUUAAGGGGAAAAGGAUGGACGAGAAACGCGAAAGCAAAUACGCCCCGGUCUAAUCUCUGGGAAACGUUCGAGUGGGCGGAAAUUUGCGUUUACGCGCGUGCAGGUGGAUAGAGAGAGGUAGGACGAAAUUUUUCGCACACGAGAAUCGCGUAAACAUUAUCGGCGAAUAGAAAUUUAAAUUGCAACGUUAUAUCGCGAUAAACUUCCAUAAAUAACGAUAAAUUUGAAGGUUCGAAACGCGCACGGGUAUACAAAAAUUCGUUUUCUCUGGCAAUCCAGUGUGAAACGAGCUCGGCUUUGACUUUGUUCCAACGAGUUGCGCGUUAUGCUUCCUCGAUGGCUGAUAAAGGGUGGCUGAUAGAAAAUUGCAAGAUUUUGCGCCUGACGUUCAGCUGUUCGUGUUCGCGGUUCAACGAGAAAUUGCAUUGGGAAUUUCGCCUGAGAAGGAAAUUUCAGAUACAACGUGCAACGCGAAUCCUUGCAGUCUACCCCAUUUCCUUUUCUUCCAUCCACAAUUUCUGUAUCGUGUCGUUCCUCGCGUUCGUACGAAGCUGCAUCACUGGAUGAAUUUCAACGCGUUUGGACGUUAUCCAUUUAUCUUCUUCGUCUUAUAAUGGAUUUGACGGAACAUCUUUCCUUCCAUGAGAGUCAAUGUAUUUAGAAUUUGUAUUCAGGCGGCAUUCGUUUCAGCAAGGCGUAAGAAAGAAAACGCGCGUUGCUUUUAGCAUUUAGUAUUUGCAGAAGUCGUAAGAAAAUUUGAUCGCGUUGCGUUUAUCAUACGUCGCUCGAUAAUUUCGUUAGAAUUAUCCGGACUAUUUUGCCCGAUAAUUUACUAGCUAAUAACAUUGGCGAAUUGACAAGCGACGAGCCGUAGAUUAUGGAUGACCGUUGCGUAAGCAGCUUUUACAAUUUUACAAUUUGACACGGAACAGGAAAAUCAGUUAUCCGAUAAUUUAUAAAAUUCGCUUCUAGAACUUGCCUUAUUACCCGAACGUACGUUACGUAAGAGAAUAAUUAUUGUUACCUAAGAGAAUUUACUAGCAAUGAUUCGUCAAAUUUCGCUAAUAACAUUAGCUUAAAAAUAGAAACGUUUACAUUCCGAAGAACAUACAUCUUUGCCGAUCGAUUAUCGAUUAAAAUGGAAAUUCAUUCCGUUCUGAUACACUUGAUCGUUGCAACCGUUUUCCUUUUUUUUUUUUUACGUAAUUUCUUCUUUAAACGGCUCGCGUACUUUAUUGCCACGUACAUCGUGGAAAGAAUUACGCGAUAUCCGAAAGAACUGUGUAAUUUUCUAUUUUUAUCGAUUUUCCUUGGUACACAAAGUAACAAAUCUAUGUAACCUACUUUACUUGUUCGCGGCCAUUAAUGCACUGACAUUUACCAGCGUACAAUCAAGAUAAUCCGAUAUUUAAUGAAACUUUCUUUCGAUAUUCUACGUAUCGUCGGUUCGUUGGAACAACGACACAACCAACGAAACUAGAUCGUUUAGCAGAUCGCUUUCAAAUACUUUGCGAUAGAAAAUUAUUCUACAAUUAUAUUUCCACGAUUGUGGAUUUGUUUGAAGUGCAGAAAUAGCCUGGUGGAUUACAGCCGAAUUGUUCGAAUGAUUAACGAAGCAAUUGAAACCGGUGUUUAAACGGUAAUCAAGAACGAAGCGGAGAAUUUCUUCGAAAUUUAACUGGUUAUAACCGGGCGACACGAAGUUAACAAUUCGCAGUGCCUACCCGCUCUCGUUAAUUAUUCCGCGUUUCUACAUUCGUCUUACUAAUUAGUAAUUAGCCUCUCUUGCCAAGGAUUUUCGCGUUGAUGGAAUCUGUCGCGCUUACCGGAAAACUUGCACGUGUCUUUCCAAUUAACAUUAUCUGUCGCAUCUGGAAACAAUCGCGCCGCUUAUGUCCAUAUUCGUUUUAAAUUUCCCAACGGUGGACGACACAAUUUCCAGCAGACGUUCGAGCGACGAAUCGGGAACGAAGGAAAUUUUUAAGGUAAGAAAGGGGAUGAUGGCAUACGUAAAAAUAGAAGAACGAGCGCUGCUAUCGAUUGCACGUUUAUGGACGCUAUUAUCGUCGAAUUUAUUAUUUAUAACGAUGGUUCGCUUCUUAUCAGAAACGCUCGUGCUCUCUCCAUCUUCGAUUUUACGCUCCGCAAACGAUUGUUUAUCGUGUUUGUAAUUUAUCUUCUUGCAAGUUUAUUAGGCUUUUUGAAAUAUUUAGAAAAUACCUGUUUACUUUACCAUUUUCGAUGAAGUCGAUCAGAGCGAACUGGUAGCACCGGAGCCGCUCAUAAUUUCCUAAAUAUAUAAUUUUGUUUUUCGAUAUAAAACGUAGAAACUAUUAUUGCGCUCUUCCAUUUCUUCGUAGAACGUGAAAAAUAUACUUCCCUCGUAAAUAUCCCAUUUUUACGGAUCUUUUGCCAAUUGUAAAAACACACGGCGGUUCUUUUUGUCAUAACGCGUAACCGUAAUCGAAGCAAGUGUUUCGCCAAUUUUUUGUAAAUCGAACGUAGUUGCGAAAGAGUAUCGGGAUUAACGUAUUGAAUCUGCUCAUCGACGUGAAAGACGAAAAUUUCGUCGUUAGUAUGCGUACGCGUUCGUAGGCGAUGCAAUUACCCGCAUACUGGCUGAUUCAAAAAUAUUGCGUGCGUGAAUAGCUUUGUAUAGGGAGAAAUGCCUGUAAUUAACGAUCAUCGUCCCAGGAAGUUAUCAAUGGGGCAAAUUUGACGCUGUAAUCGAUUAUUUGUAAGUAAAAUUUUCCUGGUAAACCGAAAUCCAUCGGAAAACAAGUAUUCGCAUCCUAUAGAACGAUUGCAAUUUUUCUACUUUAAUUUAUAAUUUAAGGACAAAUAAUAUUUAUUAUAUAUAUACAUUUAUUGGAAAGCAAAAUUUCAGCAAAUUUUGCUGUAUUUUGUAUUUCACGUUACGAGGUACGUACGAUCCGAUUGGUCGAAACCCGCUGCUUGGAAAAUAGAUUUCUUCGUGAAAAGAUUUCUAGAUACGUGAAAAAUUAUUUUAUUAUUUUCGUCGAUGUUGCUUUGCUUCUGUCUAUGUAACAUAUAAAUUAUUACGCGAUUCGUAUCAUAUCACAAUUCAUAUCAUACGUGUACAUCGUAGAAAGUAGAAUAUGGCAGGGACGAUAAUUAUAUUUCAAUCUUAUCCCACUGAAUGCCGCCUGGUUUAACGUUACCGUUUCGAUAUAAAUAAAAUUAUAUCCAUUAGCGCAACAGUAACGAUAUCAGUUUCCAAAUUUGAAAAGCCCGCCAGAAAACCUGCGUUCCGCGUUAUCCAUAUAGCGACAGUUGCCGUAUCGCGGCAGUUAUGAAACGAGAAUAAAAAGAAGUAUUUAUUUUAACGCAGAGGAGAUUUCAUUUGUUCGAAGGUUGAGUUUAAAAUUCGGAUUUAAACGAUAACAUCCAUUAACUAUGCCUAAGAAUUUUUAUCUUUCGAUUUUACUCUUGUUACGAUAAACAAAAGUAUUCUUCGAAAUAUUUUACAGCAACGCUUCAAGAUCCGCACUUAACGCUUUCGUUUUUCAAGUAAAACGAUGGAAACGCGGUAUUGUUAGAACAGGCAAAGGGUAAAUAAGUUUAUGUUGAAGCAAUAAGAA